UUGACGGGGCCCGCACAAGCGGAGGAACAUGUGGUUUAAUUCGAUGAUACGCGAGGAACCUUACCUGGGCUUAAAUGUAGAGUGCAUUUUUAGAGAUAGAAAUUCCCUUCGGGGCUUUCUGCAAGGUGCUGCAUGGUUGUCGUCAGCUCGUGCCGUGAGGUGUCGGGUUAAGUCCCAUAACGAGCGCAACCCUUAUCGUUAGUUGCCAUCUGGUAAUGCAGGGGACUCUAGCGAAACUGCCACCGUAAGGUGAGAGGAAGGUGGGGAUGACGUCAAAUCAGCACGGCCCUUAUGUCCAGGGCUACACACGUGUUACAAUGGUCGGUACAGAGGGCAGCUACCUGGUGACAGGAUGCUAAUCUCGAAAACCGGUCUCAGUUCGGAUCGAAGUCUGCAACUCGACUUCGUGAAAGCGGAAUCGCUAGUAACCGCGAAUCAGCAGGUCGCGGUGAAUACGUUCCCGGGCCUU
rnacentral:rRNA from 1 species